rnacentral:rRNA from 1 species
CUUGGUCAUUUAGAGGAAGUAAAAGUAGCAACAAGGGUUUCCGUAGGUGAACCUGCGGAAGGAUCAUU